rnacentral:rRNA from 1 species
CGAACGCUGGCGGCGUGCUUAACACAUGCACAUCGAACGGCAAGGCCUCUUUCGGGGGGUACUCGAGUGGCGAACGGGUGAGUAACACGUGAGUAACCUGCCCUUGACUUUGGGAUAACUUCAGGAAACUGGGGCUAAUACCGGAUAGGAGCUCCUGCUGCAUGGUGGGGGUUGGAAAGUUUCGGCGGUUGGGGAUGGACUCGCGGCUUAUCAGCUUGUUGGUGGGGUAGUGGCUUACCAAGGCUUUGACGGGUAGCCGGCCUGAGAGGGUGACCGGCCACAUUGGGACUGAGAUACGGCCCAGACUCCUACGGGAGGCAGCAGUGGGGAAUAUUGCACAAUGGGUGGAAGCCUGAUGCAGCAACGCCGUGUGCGGGAUGACGGCCUUCGGGUUGUAAACCGCUUUCGCUCAUGACGAAGCUUUGUGUGACGGUAGUGGGUAAAGAAGCACCGGCUAACUACGUG